AUACGGAGGGUGCGAGCGUUGUCCGGAUUUAUUGGGUUUAAAGGGUGCGUAGGUGGCUUGUUAAGUCAGUGGUGAAAUACAGCCGCUCAACGGUUGAGGUGCCAUUGAUACUGACAAGCUUGAAACAAGUGGAGGCUGCCGGAAUGGAUGGUGUAGCGGUGAAAUGCAUAGAUAUCAUCCAGAACACCGAUUGCGAAGGCAGGUGGCUACGUUUGAUUUGACACUGAGGCACGAAAGCAUGGGGAGCAAACAGGAUUAGAUACCCUGGUAGUCCAUGCCGUAAACGAUGAGGACUCGCUGUUGGUCUGUCAAGGAUCAGCGGCUUAGGGAAACCGUUAAGUCCUCCACCUGGGGAGUACGCCGGCAACGGUGAA
rnacentral:rRNA from 1 species